UUCUGGUCUGCUUCACAGAGCCGCCAUUGACCGGAGCUGACACUCAAACCGGCUGAUCGACAACCUGACUGCCUGGAUGGAAAAUCACAAGAAUAUCAGAAACAGGAUGGAAGUGAGAUGUUGGAAGACAGUGAGACUAUGAAGACCCACCAUGUUCCACCAGGCAGCAUCCAGGAAACCAAGGAUUUUGGAUUCACAAAGCGUCAUGGAUGACCCGGGUACUCCCCACCAGUCACAGGGACUCCCCAUGAGUCAGAACAGAA